GGUUCUGGCAUCGAUGAAGAACGCAGCGAAAUGCGAUAAGUAAUGUGAAUUGCAGAAUUCAGUGAAUCAUCGAAUCUUUGAACGCACAUUGCGCCCAUUAGUAUUCUAGUGGGCAUGCCUGUUCGAGCGUCAUUUCAACCCUUAAGCCUAGCUUAGUGUUGGGAGACUGCCUAAUACGCAGCUCCUCAAAACCAGUGGCGGAGUCUGUUCGUGCUCUGAGCGUAGUAAUUUUUUAUCUCGCUUCUGCAAGCCGGCCAGACGACAGCCAUAAACCGCACCCUCUCGGGGGGCACUUUUUUAAUGGUUGACCUCGGAUCAGGUAGGAAUACCCGCUGAACUUAAGCAUAUCAAUAAGCGGAGGAAAAGAAACCAACAGGGAUUGCCCUAGUAACGGCGAGUGAAGCGGCAACAGCUCAAAUUUGAAAUCUGGCCUUCUGGGUCCGAAUUG
rnacentral:rRNA from 1 species